rnacentral:lncRNA from 1 species
UCUGCCUGACACCAGACUGUCUAAUAUAUCCUUUGAAAUCUAGGGAGAGGCUCACAUGCCUUCCUAGCUCUGCUUUCUGACAGCCUGCAGAAUUAGCACCACAUGGAUGCCACCAAGGCUUAUGGCUUAUAUCUUCUGGAGCUGCAGGUCAAGCUGUACCUGGGGCACUUGAGCCAUAGCGGGGACAACUGAGGAGCACUGUGCUGGAAUUCUGGGAGCAGAGGCCCAAGCAGCCCCGGGCGGUGAUGGUUCUACAAGCCAGAAAGUUCAAGAUUGAGAGGCUGCAUCUGGCAGCUUCUAGUGAGGGCCUUAUGUUACAUGAAAACAUGGCAGAGAAAUAGAAGAGGUACCAGGCACAUGUAAAAAGCCCAAAACAUAGGAAGCAACCUCACUUUACAACAACCUGCUCUCGCAGAAACUAACCAUUCCCAUAAGAACUAACCCAGUCUUGCAAGAAAGAUACUAAUCCAUCUUAACAACAUAAUCACCUCUUAAAGGCACCACCUCCCAACACCACCACACUGGGAAACAAACCUCAACAUGGGUUUUGGUGGGGACAACCCAUACUCAAAUCACAGAAGUUUGUAAAUCAGACAUGAAAAGUGUGGCCUUCCAAACCAAGAUAAAUACAAAACCCCACUACU